GUCCUCGUAAUUCAACGGAUAGAAUAAUUGCCUCCUAAGCGAUAAAUACAGGUUCGAUUCCUGUCGGGGAUACCA
rnacentral:tRNA from 2 species